rnacentral:lncRNA from 1 species
AGGCUAGCAUUUUAGGUCUUUUUAAACCUCCUUUGGUUUUAGUGUAUUAGCAGUUGGAACUUUAUAGUCACUUGAGGCUCUCAGUGAAAAUAUUCCUCUGACUGCGGUGCUCCUGAAAGCCCAGUGGAAUUACAUUGGAGAUAAAUUCCCUCUGAAGUGCUUAUAGGUUUCAUCCGGAUUGUUGCGCACAACCUUCAUGCUAGGGUUACACACACAUCACACAAUACUAUUCUCCAUUGUGUGUAAUUAACUUAAGGCCAUUAUUACUAAUGUAAGGCCAUUAUUUUGAGGAAUGUGCUAACGAUCAGCUUUGGAGCUGUAUAAUGUAAAACAUCAAAAAGCUCACUCUGUAAAAAUUACCACAUCUCAGCUCAAAGUAGGCUGAAAGGCUACACUAUGUCAAAUACAACUGCCUCUGUGCGUUAACAGAGUCAAAUUGUAGUAUCAUUAUACAGUUAUUCAGACUCGGCAGUUUUGUUUUGCAUCACUAAUGCCCUUCUUCUGAAUGCAGCCACUCUGGAUCUGUAUUCUGAAGUUAGCUACAAAUAAUGUUUUCUUCACCAGAGGUAGAUUGGUACUUGAGAAUUAAAGCAUUUUUGCUCAUUUAUAAGAUUGCAAGCAACAAGGAAAACAAAACAAAACAAAACUCUGAAAGAAUGUGAAAAAGAAAACAAAAGCACAAUUUUUGCUUGGGCAGCAGUAGGCUACUCGGGUCACUGCAGCUCCUCAGAAGAAACCACAGCAAGAGCAGAGUAACCUGGGGAGUAACUGCACAAAGCAAAGAGCACCCUGGAUUUGAAGGCUGGAACUAAGCAGGAAAGCAAGCAAGAAAUCUGGUAUUUUUGGAAUGGACAGCUGACAUGCCACCUUAAAAAAAUAAAUAAAAAAUCCAACACCCUUCUGCUGCACUCACAGGACAGGUGGCUGGACAACUGCCAGCAACAAAGGUACAAGCCACACCAACAGGAAGGGCUCAGUAUUUCUAGGCUCUGCACCAUGCUGGUGCACAUAGCUACAUGGCCUGUGGAAUGGAGCCCGCUUGUCUUCCUGCCUUGGCACAAGUGUCUGCUUGCAGAAGAGAAGAGCAAGUGCAUGUCUGUGAUGUGUGUUCUGUGGGAAAAGUGGAUGGAGGUCUCUUCCCUCUAAAGUGUAGUACUGCAUGCUAAGGAAAUGCAGAGCAUUCAUCUUAGUCCAGGAAAUAAUAAGAUAAAAAUCACAUGAAGCCCAUUCUUAAACGGCCUUGGUGUAAAGGGAAAGAAGUCUUUAGGGGCCAGAAGGUUUUGCUUCUGAUGCUAUUAGGUUAUUUUUUCCUAGGAUUCAUAUAUUGCCUCUUAUAACCACAGAGAAGGCACAUGAAAUCUCCUACAGACACAUCUCAAUAAAAUCUCCCAUGCCACCCA